rnacentral:rRNA from 1 species
AGUCGUAACAGGUUUCCGUAGGUAAUAGGUUUGCCUACCGAAGCCCGUAGCCAGCGACUAUAAACAACUCGGCCAUAGUCGCCCCUCUGGGGGCUGGCGACGCCGUCAAUCUGUGCCUGGUAGUGCCUCUUCCGGGGGUAUCACCAGCAGCCCGUUGCCCUGCGGCAUUCGAGUUCACAGAUCAAACGAUAGCGGCCACUGCCUGUGGUUGAGAUAUGAUCGGCCUCCAGCUCUCACUGAGCUGGCGAAAAUUUGCGGAACCUGCGGAAGGAUC